rnacentral:rRNA from 1 species
UACGUAGGGGGCAAGCGUUAUCCGGAAUUAUUGGGCGUAAAGAGUGCGUAGGUGGUUUUAUAAGCGCAAAGGUGAAAGGCUACAGCUCAACUGUAGUAAGGCAUGCGAACUGUGAAACUUGAGUGCAGGAGAGGAGAGCGGAAUUCCUAGUGUAGCGGUGAAAUGCGUAGAUAUUAGGAGGAACACCAGUGGCGAAGGCGGCUCUCUGGACUGUAACUGACACUGAGGCACGAAAGCGUGGGGAGCGAACAGG